rnacentral:rRNA from 1 species
UUUUCCUCCGUCCCGCGAAGAGUGCGGGAUUCAUGGCGGUUGGGAUAGUGAUUGAUGCCGGCGCCUGUAGUGGGCGUUCCGGUGGGUGCACAACAACGAACCGUCGCAKCAAGUGGUGUUGAGGGCAUGUGAGUGUCGUCGAUGUCGUUGAGCUUGCUGUGGUGGCUGCCAGGCACACUGUUGGGUCCUGAGGCAACACGCUUUGGGUGUUGUCGCCUCACCGGUUUUGGUGUGGGGUGUGGUGUUUGAGUUGUGGAUAGUGGUUGCGAGCAUCUAGCAGAUGAGAUCUCUAUUGUGGGGUUUUGUUUGUUGGUGUGAUUUUGUUUUUUGAACACUUUUGGUUUUUGUGU